rnacentral:rRNA from 1 species
UUUAACUCUUUAGUUAAUAGAGUGAGUGUUAGGAGACAACAAACGGUGGUGUCACAAAAUCGGAGGCCACGACUGUUUACUAAAAACACAAUUCAGAGCAAUGAUGAAAAUCAUAGUAUUCUGGAUGAAAUUUGCCCGAUGCCAUUAACAUAAAAGAGGUAAUGGGUAACUGUUACUAAUUGAAAGUCUGGUUAAUAGCGGUCUUAACUAUGAGGAUCCUAAGGUAGCAAAAUCAGUUGGCCAUUAAAUGUGGUCUGGUAUCAAUAGUGUAACGAUGGUCUCACUGUCUCUACAACUUGCUCAGUGAAAUUGAAUUAUCCGUGCAGAUGCG